CAGAGGUCAGCUGAUCCUUUUACUGUCCAUGAGACACAUGUGUCAGGUACAGCUGAGCCCUGGAGCCAGUGUGGCUGGUCUUCUCAGUCUCUUGGCUCAGGUGACUGCUGUCUCCUUCGAGACUCCCUGGAGAAGAGCGAGGCUGGCGGUGAGAGGUCACAACCAUUGGAUCUCAGCAGCUUCAUUUUCCUCAACACAAAAAUCCAUGUUAAAAAUACAGAUGUGAACAUCUGGGGAGAUACGUGGGAACAGAAGAUGCCACUUAAAGUCACAGGGAGUGCGUAUGCCUGCAGAAGUCCACCUCAUCAGUUCCAGUUCUCAGUGAUGCGAGGUCUCAGGAAAGACCCAGACUUCACACGGGCAGCCACCCCACCAGAGGGCUGCCUAGGUUUCCACCAGGAAGGGUCACUGUUAUUUUAAGUUCUGAUCCCAAUACAAUUUCCAUAUUUCUUCAGAAGGGUCGCAUUCUGAACUGUCGGGAGAUCCUGAAAUCUUAAGAGUAAUUGGGGGACCUGAGAACUGGGGUGGAGGAGUGAAAAAGGAAGUUAUAAGAAGGCAGCGUCCCUGGACAGCUAAGGAGAGGGCUGCACUAGAAAGAGAGAAAGCAAGAGGACCGAGUUGGGUUCUCAGCAUAAAUCUGGCCCUUUUUUCUUUCUUUUCUCUUCUUUCUUCUUUUAUUCCUCCUCCUCCUCCUUCUUGUUUUAAUUUCCCAUCAAUGUAAGGAGCCCAGGGCUGGGAGACUCUUACUAAACUAUGCUUACUGAGUGCCUGUUGUAGCCAGGCACUGUGCUGGGCUCUAAGGUCACAGCAGAAAAUAAUAUAUAGCACUUCUUUGCAUGGCCUCAUGAAACUGUCUGCCCUGGGUGGGAGGUCAGAUGUUAGCUGACCAGAGUCAGAAAGGCCUUCCUGGUUUCUGUCCACUGAAUGUCCAGGAAAGAGAACUUUGGAGAGUUACAGUUUAAGCUGAGAGCCAUAAGAUGCAUUUUACAGAGAAAGGAAGAGCACCCCAAUAGAAAGGGCUGUCCCUGCAAAGGUCCUGGGGCAGAAAUGCACUUGGUGGACUCAAGGGGAUGGAAGGCAGCAGAGUGGGGGAAGCAGAGUGAGCAGGGGGAUGAGUAGGUUAGCAGGGGCAGUUGUGCUGGGCGAGUAGUCACCGUUGAAAGUUGGACAGUUAGGGAAAGAAUGCACAGAAGUGACAUGGUCUGAUUUAAGUUUUAGAGUCAACUUCUUGGUGAGUGGAGAAGGAAUUUGGUGAGGAGAGAGGCAUUGGGAGAAGCAGAGAUCCAGUGAAGAGAAGGAGGAAAAAGAUCCCAAAAUGGGUGAAUCUGGGAGCUCCUGAUCCAGGUGUUUUUAGCCCUGGAAUCAAUCCUCAGUUUCUCCAGCUGCUAAGUGAGAGCUACUUUAGAAUGUCCUCUUAGCUCUGUGUCCUCAGGGUGUGUCAAUUCUGGCCUUGCCUGCUCUUCCAAGGUCUAUGUCUGCUUCUCUUUUCUCUCAAGGCUGAGAAACCCUUGCUGGAAAAAAAUUUAUAAAUAAAUUUCGACUUAUGGCUUCAA